UGUGUGUGUGUGUGUGUGUGUGUGUAUAUAUAUAUAUAUAUAUAUAUACACAUACACAUAUAUAUAUACACACACACACACACACACAAU